rnacentral:misc_RNA from 1 species
GUCUUUUUGGAUCAAACACUGCUGAAAAACACUGCUGAAACUGAAAGGUCUUCUCUCCUUUCCUCCGUCCCGUUAACUACUCUUGUUAAUAACCACUACUAAUUAGAAACGUUGUUUAAUUUAAUUAUCCACUAUGUCUGUUACUUAAACGGCAAUAACACACCAGCCACAGGCUGAAUUGCCAAUCACCACCACCACGCGAAU